ACGGGUGAGUAACACGUGGGUAACCUGCCCAUCAGAAGGGGAUAACACUUGGAAACAGGUGCUAAUACCGUAUAACACUAUUUUCCGCAUGGAAGAAAGUUGAAAGGCGCUUUUGCGUCACUGAUGGAUGGACCCGCGGUGCAUUAGCUAGUUGGUGAGGUAACGGCUCACCAAGGCCACGAUGCAUAGCCGACCUGAGAGGGUGAUCGGCCACACUGGGACUGAGACACGGCCCAGACUCCUACGGGAGGCAGCAGUAGGGAAUCUUCGGCAAUGGACGAAAGUCUGACCGAGCAACGCCGCGUGAGUGAAGAAGGUUUUCGGAUCGUAAAACUCUGUUGUUAGAGAAGAACAAGGAUGAGAGUAAAAUGUUCAUCCCUUGACGGUAUCUAACCAGAAAGCCACGGCUAACUACGUGCCAGCAGCCGCGGUAAUACGUAGGUGGCAAGCGUUGUCCGGAUUUAUUGGGCGUAAAGCGAGCGCAGGCGGUUUCUUAAGUCUGAUGUGAAAGCCCCCGGCUCAACCGGGGAGGGUCAUUGGAAACUGGGAGACUUGAGUGCAGAAGAGGAGAGUGGAAUUCCAUGUGUAGCGGUGAAAUGCGUAGAUAUAUGGAGGAACACCAGUGGCGAAGGCGGCUCUCUGGUCUGUAACUGACGCUGAGGCUCGAAAGCGUGGGGAGCGAACAGGAUUAGAUACCCUGGUAGUCCACGCCGUAAACGAUGAGUGCUAAGUGUUGGAGGGUUUCCGCCCUUCAGUGCUGCAGCAAACG
rnacentral:rRNA from 1 species